GCCACAGUCGCAUAACCUGGUAUUGCGCGAGAUUGCUAAUCUCGUCCCUCUGGGAUCGCCGGUUCAAAUCCGGCCUGUGGCG
rnacentral:tRNA from 1 species